AAGAGAUAUCCAAAGUUUAGCUGCGGGCUUGCACGCUUCGGAGCGAAGAGUCAUCCGCUUCUCCUCCAGCUAUGUGGUUCAACGCGAAUCCAAAACAUGAGUACAGAAAAUACUUAAAAGCAAGGCGUUGAUUGAAUUAAGGGUUCAAUCAUUUUACCUAAUAGCUUGGAACAAAGACAAGACAGGGCAUCCCCAGCACCAGUGUUCUGAGGCCGGGGUACCUCAGUUUUGGUCCUGGGCUUCACUACUCCUGCUGGCUUUCAUGACAGCUGAGCUCUCUACUUCAGUGAAUCCUCAAAUGAGCCAAAACGAUCAUGGAAAUUGCCGAUUCUCCAGUACCUACCACUGUUACUACUGCUGUUAUACUGUAGAGCUACAGAACUGCAGUAUUGUGCCGGGAGAGUCUGGUUUCCUUCUGGAGUGUGGGGUUUGGAUUUUUCUGUGUCUUGUGCUCUGUGCUUUGUACAGUAUAUGAAGCCAGAGUCUUCACAGAACGUUUCUCAGGAUUCCCUUGACAUUACGACACGCUUUUCCAUUGGGUCUUCACCUGCAGACAUGCGUUCAGUCAUUUCACAGCAUGGCUGAAAACUGGAGCAGAUGGCUUACUCUGCUUUCGCUCUGUCCUUGUGACAUUCUGAAUUCCAGAGGCCAGCUGACUGGUCCCCAAGAGAGAGAUCUGACUGAAACCAAUUAGAAGACCGAUGUGAAAGCGUGAGGGAGUGUCACAGCUGUGUGACUGACAACACUGGCCAAUAGCCUGUAAAGGGACUUCAGGUUCAUUGAGAUAGUACUGUGAUAUUUCCCCAAAUUCAGCCCUGUGUGAUGUUUUAUAGCUUUAAUAAUAAUACAUUUUGUUUUUAUAUAGUCCCUUUCAUGUUGAGACAUCUUCACACACUUCAUAGCUAAGGGAACAAUGAUACAGUAAUUAAUUGGUCGACUAACACAUGAUGAUAAACUUUAAAAAGCAAAGUUAUAUUACAAAUUGGAUAAUUUUACAAAGCCUUUGAUAGUAUAGAAUUUCAUAACUGUAGACAAUUCUUUUGCCCCAUGUGUCUUAAAUCAUCUUAGCAAUGAGCAAUGCCUUAGUUUUCAUUCUCUACCCUGUUUCCCUCUCCCCUUUUGAAGUCUGCUUCAAAAUCUGACUUUCUAAUAAAAACAAAUAUUUUUAUUUAUCUGUAAAUCUAAACCAGGGUCAAUAAAUCUGUAAUGGAGCAAUAGUGAUUACAUGGCAUUUAUCACUGGGCCUAGCUUGCAAGAACACAUUUUUUUUAAAUAAGGGUGCUUUAAAGUUUAAAUAGAAGUCUACAAAUAUUUAUUAAAGGUCUUUUUUUAACUGUACUGCUGAAACACACUAUCAAAUCUUCAAACUCUUGUGAAAGAGACGGCAAACCUGUGCACUGGACCAAAGUACUGUGAGAUUUUCAGAAUCAUGUACUUUAUACAAAAUGUCUUUCACGUUUUUUUAAAACCCAAAGGAACAGUAUCUGUUCUGCAAUUAACAAGAAAUGCAUGUAUUUUCAAAACCUAGCUCCAGAUAGAUGUGUCUUCAUAGGAACAUGCAGUGAAUAAAGCCCUGAUCUCUGUGAUCCCUGUGACUGGUUCAGCAGUGUGCUCUACUCUGUCAGACGUUGUCCAUCCUGUAGCUGGAAAGGGAGUGUGUGGAUGGGGGGUGGGGGGUGCACUAUGUUAGGCAUGCAGCCUGACUUGUGCUGGCUUGUCCAGUCAUCGCAGAGACAUGCUUCCUGGCCCAGGGAAUAUCCCAAAAUUGUGGGUGUCUCUCUGUCAGCGCUCUGUCCUGCCCAGACCAGCAGUCUGACCCUCGGUGCUUCGAUCCCGAGUUGAGAGGGGCCAGAGAGAGGGGCUGACGGGGGCUGCAGGCCCCUGCCUCCCAGAUGUUACUGUCACUGUGAAUGCACCAAGCCUGCUGUAGGGCUUAGGCUUCUGCACAGUCUUGCCUGUGAAACAGAAGUACUGUAUGUACGCAUGUGUGAAUAGGUUAAUACUGCACAGUUUGGACUGUAACCUUGUCAUUUAUGAAACUUUGUCAUUUGUGAAACCGAAUUCUUUUUCCUCGUGUUAUAUCUUAUUUUUGAACUAUAAAUGCGUUUGUCGCCAGGUAUAAAAUAAAUGCAUGUAAAGAGACAUGUUGAGUUAUUGCUUGCUUAAAAAAGUGCAAAGCAAAUCUGUCUUGUUUCUCUUUUCUUUUCUAAUCACGAUCCAGUUACCUUCAAAAUGUGGGAGGCUGAAACACUAAAA